rnacentral:rRNA from 1 species
GUGCCAGCAGCCGCGGUAAUACGUAGGGUGCAAGCGUUGUCCGGAAUUAUUGGGCGUAAAGAGCUCGUAGGCGGUUUGUCACGUCUGCUGUGAAAUUCCGAGGCUCAACCUCGGACUUGCAGUGGGUACGGGCAGGCUAGAGUGCGGUAGGGGAGAUGGGAAUUCCUGGUGUAGCGGUGGAAUGCGCAGAUAUCAGGAGGAACACCAAUGGCGAAGGCACAUCUCUGGGCCGUAACUGACGCUGAGGAGCGAAAGCGUGGGGAGCGAACAGGAUUAGAUACCCUGGUAGUCCACGCCGUAAACGGUGGGUGCUAGCUGUGGGCCACAUUCCACGUGGUCCGUGACGAAGUUAACACAUUAAGCACCCCGCCUGGGGAGUACGGCCGCAAGGCUAAAACUCAAAGGAAUUGACGGGGGCCCGCACAAGCGGCGGAGCAUGCGGAUUAAUUCGAUGCAACGCGCAGAACCUUACC